rnacentral:rRNA from 1 species
UACGUAGGGUGCAAGCGUUGUCCGGAAUUAUUGGGCGUAAAGGGCUCGUGGGCGGUCUGUCGCGUCGGGAGUGAAAACUCAGGGCUUAACCCUGAGCCUGCUUCCGAUACGGGCAGACUAGAGGUAUGCAGGGGAGAAUGGAAUUCCUGGUGUAGCGGUGAAAUGCGCAGAUAUCAGGAGGAACACCGGUGGCGAAGGCGGUUCUCUGGGCAUUACCUGACGCUGAGGAGCGAAAGUGUGGGGAGCGAACAGG